GACGAACGCUGGCGGCGUGCUUAACACAUGCAAGUCGAACGGAAAGGCCCUGCUUUUGUGGGGUGCUCGAGUGGCGAACGGGUGAGUAACACGUGAGUAACCUGCCCUUGACUUUGGGAUAACUUCAGGAAACUGGGGCUAAUACCGGAUAGGAGCUCCUGCUGCAUGGUGGGGGUUGGAAAGUUUCGGCGGUUUGGGAUGGACUCGCGGCUUAUCAGCUUGUUGGUGGGGUAGUGGCUUACCAAGGCUUUGACGGGUAGCCGGCCUGAGAGGGUGACCGGCCACAUUGGGACUGAGGUACGGCCCAGAAUCCUACGGGAGGCAGCAGUGGGGAAUAUUGCGCAAUGGGCGGAAGCCUGAUGCAGCAACGCCGCGUGCGGGAUGACGGCCUUCGGGUUGUAAACCGCUUUCGCCUGUGACGAAGCGUGAGUGACGGUAAUGGGUAAAGAAGCACCGGCUAACUACGUG
rnacentral:rRNA from 1 species